UCCUUCAUCUUGAUGCUGCCUACCUCCCAACAUUGUCUAGUCUGUCCCCCUGACUCAGAACAGUUGGAAGGUGUGGGACAGAAAUAAAGUGAAUGUGCAGCACUAAAAUGAUGUAAAUGUGAGUAAGACGUUUGUUUGGGGGAACACAAUUCUGCAAAUGCAUGUAAUACAUGAUUAAGGCUUGUGUAGGCUGAAAGGUUGUAUUUGCAAG